AGACGCCGAGAAGGGGCUGGAGAAAGCAGGCAGCAACGCUAGGCCGCGGGGCAGAGCCGCGGUUCGGACUCUCUCUUCCCCGGCGCUCCGAGCUGCGGAAGCCCAGGCCGUCCGCCGCUCCCCGGCGCACGCGGCCGCGCCUCGCCGCCCUCCCCGGUAACUCUCCUCGGGGCGGAGCCUUCGGGCUUCCCCCACUACCGGUACCUGCCGCGGGCGCCCGAGCUGCGGGCACGGGGUAUCCUGAGGCUGUGCACCCGGGACCCCGGCGCGCACUGUCCGCGGGCCACGCGGUGAGGGUGGCUGCGGGCGAGAGGGCUCAUGCUUCAGGGGAAGCCCAAGGCCCGCCAGCCGCGGCGGCUGCGACGAGACUUGGCAAGAGUUAAACGUCGGUCCCAGGAGCAGCGAGUGCGCGCGACUUCCCAGACCGACGCGCCUCCCUUGCUCCCCGCCUCCCUCCCCAGUCAGCGCUCCGCUCGCGCCCCGCCCGGCUGCUGCGGAGGCGGCUUUCCAGGAACUUUCCAGGAAUCGGCCUCACGUGACCGCGGGCCCCGCUACUGCUUUAAAGAGGCUCGGUCGCAAUACACAGGCUUCAGGGAAGACCGGAGUUUGCCAUCUCCGUACCACCACCACCACCACACACAGCACCCUCAAGACUCCCUGUGAUCCUGGGAUGCACUCAACGAAGAGUGUGUGGCCCAGGAUUUGAUGGAAAUGCUACAAGAGAAGCAGGCUCUCCCCUUCUGAAAUGAUGAGUGAUAAUGACCAUACAGGUCAACUUUUCCACCACUUGGAGGGAGCCUGUCAAAGAACAAAGGCAACAGAGAAGAGAGCAGAGCUGAGGUUGGGUGAGAGGGAGAAAUUCCUGAGUGCUUGAAUCCCACAUGCCGGAAGCCGCACCACACUUGGACUUCUCAAUACAGGAGCCACUGAGAAACCAAGUCAUGCUGAAGACCUGGAAAUCCCAGCAGGCUGCAAACCAGCUGCAACUACAAUGGGUCAGCCCUUUUGAGAUGCUGCUGACUACCCACUUAUCUGCCAAGUUAGCCAGUGUUAAGCCAUGGAUUCACCACGCUCAGAUAAAACCUGCCCCUCUGGGAUCCCUCCAGAAAAAAACAGGCAUGCUGUUGUGAACCCUAAGAUGGCCUUAAGUUAAUAUUCAAUGCCCAGCCAAAGACCCUAAAUAAGAAGUCAUAAAGGAAACAUGUGCUUUUCAGGUACCAAUCACCCUCCAGAUCUAAGAAUGGCUUCAGGCUGGGGCUGCAGUCACCUCUUUGCCCAGCUUCUCCCCUGCCCUAUUCUGCUUCACUUGCAUCCUUAAAGGUUCCACCCAAGAGCUCUUCUACAAGAAAGCACCUAUAAAGCCAGACACAUUGGCUUAUGCCUAUAAUCCUAGCACUUUGGGAGGCCAAGGUAGGAGGAUGGCUUGAGGCCAGGAGUUCAAGACCAGCCUGGGCAACUUAGUGAGGCCCCGUCUCUAUAAAAAAUAAAAAAAUUAACCAGGUGUGGUGGUGCACGUCUCUAGUCUCAGCUACUCAGGAGGCUGUGGCAGGAAGAUGGCUUGAGCCCAGGAGGUUGAGGCUGCAGUGAACUAAGAUCAUGCCACUGCACCCAUCUUGGGCAACAGAAUGAGAUCCUGUCUCUAAAAAAAUAAAAACAAUUUACAACAGUAAGCACCUGUACACAAGCCCCAUCUCCAGUCCUGUUUCUAGGGCUUCCAAUUUAACACACCUAGAGGCUGGGCAUAGUAGCUCAUGCCUGUAAUCCCAAUACUUUGGGAGGCUGAGGCAAGUGAAGCACUUGAGGUCAGGAGUUCGAGACCAGCCUGGCCAACAUGGCAAAACCCCAUCUCUACUAAAAAUGCAAACAUUAGCUGGGCAUGGUGGCACAUGCCUGUAAUCCCAGCUACUCGGGAGGCUGAGACAGGAGAAUCACUUGAACCCAGGAGGUGGAGGUUACAGUGAGCCAAGAUCACACCACUGUACCACAGCCUGAGCAACGAAAGAAGACUCUGUCUAAAAAAAGUAAAAAAUAAAAUAAAACACACCUGGAGCUUUCUACAUCCCGUCUGCAGGUUAGCUGGGGCAGCUGAUUGGGAUCAAGUCUACCCCAUAUUUCUGUCAUUUGCUUGAGCCAACAGCUUACCCAGGACAGUUCUCAUGGUAAAGGACAGAGCCUGAGAAGCAAAGCCAAACCUCAUGAGCACAUUUAAAGCCUCUGAUCAUGCCCACUAACAUUCCAUUGGCCAAAGCAAGCCUCACGAUCCAGCCCGACAUGAGGAAGUGGGGAAACAGACUCUAAUCUCUCCAGUAGGAGGCAUUGUAGAGCAACAUAGCAAAGAAAGGAUACAUUCCAAGGAGGAAGAAAAGAAUUGGGAUAAUCCAGUCCUAUCACAGACAACCUUCAUUUUUAAUGUUACUUUCUUUUUCAUGGAAAAUAACUACAUUAAAAGGUCAUGGCCGGGCGCGGUGGCUCAUGCCUGUAAUCCUAGAACUUUGGGAGGCCGAGGCAGGUGGAUCACCUGAGGUCAGGAGUUCGAGACCAGCCUGGCCAACGGGGUUUAGUGAAAUCUCAUCUCCACUAAAAAUAAUAAUAAUAAUAAUAAUAGCUGGGCAUCAUGGUGGGUGCCUGUAAUCCCAGCUACCCAGGGGACUGAAGCAGGAGAAUCACUUGAACCCGGGAGGCAGAGGUUGCAGUGAGCUGAGAUCAUGCCACUGCACUCCAGCUUGGGCAACAGAGUGAGAUUCCAUCUUAAAAUAAAAUUAAAUUAAAUUAAAAAGUCAUUUCAAGGAUUUCUGGAAAAAAUUGUAAAGCCAUUUCCAGAAAAUUACCAGAAUUGGUAAAAUUUUGUCCCAUUCCUUACCUGCUGGGCUGGCAUCGUGGGUGUGACUUGUGCAGGAGCACAGGACUCCACACUCAGAAGAGCUGCAUGCUUGGCUGAAUACUCUGCUAAUGCUGUCUCACAGUUAUUAAUUUUUGAACAAGAAGCUCUGCAUUUUUAUUCUGCACUGGCCCCAACAAAUUAUGCAGCCAGUGCUGCCUACACAUGCUAUAUUUAGGAUCCCAGAUGGUGAGAAUUAAUGCUCAGACUGGUGACCCUGAAUCUGUAGGUUUCUGAGUGAUCCAGGAUUCAAUUAUAAUUAUCAUUUUUUUCAUUCAUUCAACAUGUUUAUUGAGUGCUGUUCUAGGUAUCGGGGAUAAAACAUUGAAUCAACCAGCCCUGUCUUCACAGAAUUUACAUCGUGCCACACUUCCUGUGUCUGCCCAACCAACAAAUGACAUUCAUGUAUCAGCUAUUAAUAGGACAUCAGCUACAGACACACAUACCAGCGUGUGUCACAAAUAGUCUAUGUCGGGGAUCACAUGCAAAUCCCAGCAGCCAACAGGAACUCCAGGCAUCCCAAUCUCUUUCUCUCAAGAAAGCAAAUCAGAAUGCAA
rnacentral:lncRNA from 1 species